UACGGAGGGUGCAAGCGUUAAUCGGAUUUAUUGGGUUUAAAGGGUGCGUAGGUGGCUGAUUAAGUCAGUGGUGAAAGUUUGUCGCUCAACGAUAAAAUUGCCAUUGAAACUGGUUAGCUUGAGUAUGUUUGAGGUAGGCGGAAUGCGUAGUGUAGCGGUGAAAUGCAUAGAUAUUACGCAGAACUCCAAUUGCGAAGGCAGCUUACUAAACCAUAACCGACACUGAAGCACGAAAGCGUGGGUAUCAAACAGG
rnacentral:rRNA from 1 species